rnacentral:rRNA from 1 species
GACGAACGCUGGCGGCGUGCUUAAUACAUGCAAGUCGAACGGACAGACGCUGCUCUUGCGCCGCUCACGUUUGCGGCAGAGGUGUGAGUCACACGUGUAUCAUCCCCCUGUCUUUCUGGGAACAUCUCGGGACUCGGGAUCUUAUCCGGUAGGAUCUCUUGCUGCGUGUUGUUGAAUGGUAAGUUUCGGCGGUUGGGGAUGGACUGGAGGCUUACCAGCUUGUUGGUGGGGUAGGUGCUGACCAGGGCUUUGACGGGUAGCCGGCAUGAGAGGGUGACCGGCCACAUUGGGACUGAGAUACGGCCCAGACUCCUACGGGAGGCAGCAGUGGGGAAUAUUGCACAAUGGGCGGAAGCCUGAUGCAGCAACGCCGCGUGCGGGAUGAAGGCCUUCGGGUUGUAAACCGCUUUCGCCUGUGACGAAGCGUGAGUGACGGUAAUGGGUAAAGAAGCACCGGCUAACUACGUG